CCCAGGUGGUGCAUGGCUGUCGUCAGCUGGGGUCGUGAGAUUUGGAUGUUAAUCCCGCAACGAGCGCAACCCUUGCCAGGAUUGGCUACAUUUAGGUAAGCACUCUAAUGGGACUGCCGGUGACAAACCGGAGGAAGGUGGAGAAGACGUCAAGUCCUGAUGGCGCUUUAUAGGUGGGGCUACACACGUCAUACAAUGGCUGGUACAGAAGGGUUGCCAACCCGCGAGGGGGAGCUAAUCCCAUAAAACCAGUCGUAGUCCGGAUCGCAGUCUGCAACUCAUUGCUAAUCGAAUCGCAGAAUCG
rnacentral:rRNA from 1 species